CUGCCAAAGUAAUCAAACAAUAUAGAUUCGCAGGAAUUUUGACAUUUCUUACGCCGUACUUACAACAGAAGGAGACUUCAAGUAACCUCGAUGUAGAACCAGCCAACACUGAAAUAAGUGAUGAGGAAACUUUCGACAGCAUUGUAGACAACAUAACAGAAGAAAGUUUUUGAUUUGAUUAUAAUGAUGAUGAUUACCACCAAUCGCAACAGCCCCAUGAGCAGCAACAACAACAACCACAGCAGAUGCAACAAAAAAAAA